GAUGAACGCUGGCGGCGUGCCUAAUACAUGCAAGUCGAGCGAACGGACGAGAAGCUUGCUUCUCUGAUGUUAGCGGCGGACGGGUGAGUAACACGUGGAUAACCUACCUAUAAGACUGGGAUAACUUCGGGAAACCGGAGCUAAUACCGGAUAAUAUUUUGAACCGCAUGGUUCAAAAGUGAAAGACGGUCUUGCUGUCACUUAUAGAUGGAUCCGCGCUGCAUUAGCUAGUUGGUAAGGUAACGGCUUACCAAGGCAACGAUGCAUAGCCGACCUAAGAGGGUGAUCGGCCACACUGGAACUGAGACACGGUCCAGACUCCUACGGGAGGCAGCAGUAGGGAAUCUUCCGCAAUGGGCGAAAGCCUGACGGAGCAACGCCGCGUGAGUGAUGAAGGUCUUCGGAUCGUAAAGCUCUGUUAUUAGGGAAGAACAUAUGUGUAAGUAACUGUGCACAUCUUGACGGUACCUAAUCAGAAAGCCACGGCUAACUACGUG
rnacentral:rRNA from 1 species